GGAGAGGUGGCUGAGUGGUUGAAAGCGGCGCCCUGCUAAGGCGUUAGAGGGUUUACGCCCUCUCGAGGGUUCGAAUCCCUCCCUCUCCG
rnacentral:tRNA from 1 species